rnacentral:rRNA from 1 species
AGGGCACCACCAGGAGUGGAGCCUGCGGCUUAAUUUGACUCAACACGGGGAAACUUACCCGGCCUGGACACUGGAAGGAUUGACAGAUUGAGAGCUCUUUCUUGAUUCAGUGGGUGGUGGUGCAUGGCCGUUCUUAGUUGGUGGAGCGAUUUGUCUGGUUAAUUCCGAUAACGAACGAGACUCUAGCCUAUUAAAUAGGCUCCCGGCUUUUAAACGCCGGGAGGACUUCUUAGAGGGACAGGUGGCGGUUCAGCCGCACGAAAGAGAGCAAUAGCAGGUCUGUGAUGCCCUUUGUUGUCCGGGGCCGCACGCGCGCUACACUGAAGAGAUCAGCGUGCUUUAUGUUCCUGCUCCGACCGGAGUGGGGAACCCAGUGAACCUUCUUCGUGAUUGGGAUAGAAGAUUGUAAUUAUUCUUCUUGAACGAGGAAUUCCCAGUAAAUGCGAGUCAUAAGCUCGCGUUGAUUACGUCCCUGCCCUUUGUACUCACCGCCCGUCGCUACUACCGAUUGAACGAUUU